CUGCUAACUCUUGUAACCUCUGACUCUUCAUUUCCUCGGCUCUAAAACAGGCUUAACCAGGCCAGGCUCGUAGGGUUCCGCUGUAGAGAUCAGUAAGAUGUGGGAUGUGUUGACGCUUCUUGGGAUUGGUCGUAUUUCCUUCUGCCCCCUCAUUCCAGGUGAACCAGCCUCUGCUGCUCACAUCUCAGCUUCUCUGAGGGUUUCAGGGCUCGUCCUCAUAGGCUGGACCCAGCGCUCACGCAGUUUCUUAGAGCAGAUGAGAAUUCAUUUGCUAGCCAAACUUUUUAAAAGAGAUGUGCCAUAUCAGUGAUACGUUUUUGUCCUUUUUUUUUUUUUGUCUUUUUAGGGCCGUACCUGGCAUGUGGAAGUUCCCAGGCCAGGGGUUGAAUCAGAACUGUAGCUGCUGGCCUACACCUGAGCCACAGCAACGUGGGAUCUGAACCACAUCUGCAACUUACACCACAGCUCACUGCAAUGCCGGAUCCUUAACCCACUGAACAAGGCCAGAGGGCGAACCUGCGUCUUCAUGGAUGCCAGUCAGAUUCAUUACCGACGAGCCACCAUGGGAACUCCCAGAGCGGAUUGGGGGUGUCUUGCGCUGUUUUGCUUAAACAGGCAGUGUCAUUGUGGCAAGAAUGUGGUUAUGGGUUUGCCUGAAUCUUUCCCUGGUGACUGACCAAGUCUUACCCAGAGAUUUGAGGUUCAAGCCUUCACCCCUGGGUGUCUCCCUCUCCCAUCUCCUGGCCUCAUUGAACCCCCUCUCGUGCUCAUUGAGGACGUGGUGUUUAGAUCACAACCUUUCUCUGGCACUUCAUCCCUGCAGCCUCUCUGCUUUGGCCUCUGCAGCGCCACGUACCUGCAUUCCCACCUCUGGCUGCCACAUCGUGGUCCUGUCAUCCUGGGAGCAGGGCCCCAUUUGGAUUCUUCAGCUCCCAAGGUCCUCUCCUCCCCUCCUCUCACACCUCGUCCCUGCUACCCCUUUAUUUCAGCCUCAGACUUGCAGCUCUCUAGCCCCUCCUUCCUUCCCCGACCAGACCUCUCUGACUGAUCCCCGGCAUCCUCAGCUUCCUGCGCGGCGUGCGGCGUAUCCCUGCUGAAACCUCACCCUUGGAUCUACUCGCUUUUGCCUCUGCACCUCUGGUUCUGGCAUCUGGAGGGACCCCCACGUGUGGAUGUAGAUUUCAGCCGCAACAUGUUCAGGGUCCCCAGCGUCACCUGAGCGAGGCACCUGACCGUUGUUUUGACGGUCCUGACUCAGCGCCCACCACCACUUUGCUCAAAGUCCAGAAGAAAUCUGCUUGCGUCCAUCUCCCCACCCCCUCCAGUAGUCCCAUUCUGAUGCCUCCUACUUCAGGAAGGUUGGGGGGAUCCAAACUCACUUCCUCAGACGCCAGCUGCCCUGCGUGCCCCUCUCCCCCCUGCCGUUCUCAGCUGAGCCGGGUCCUCUGUCUGUGCUCGUGCUCCCUCCCCUCGGUCCCUGCGCCUUCCCUGUCUCCUCUCUGUCCUGGCUCUUCUUUGGAAUAAGUCUCUCCUGGUCUUUAGAAACCAGGCUCUCCCUGUCGCCACCUGCCCAUCUCCUUCCAUUCUCAGCUCAGCACCCUGAGACCAGGUCUGUGGUGCUAGUCUUUGCUUCAUCUCUGAGCCCCAGGUACCAUGGCAUCGCCUGAUCCACCCUUGCGGCCUUAACAACCUCCUGCCUGCCGACCCUUGUUAGCUUCCAUCUCUGGUCUGGAUUCUCCCCUGAUCUCUAACCCCACGGCCACUGUCCCUUCUCAGUGUCCCACGGGGUUGACCUAACAUGCUCCCCUGACUCCUCUAGCCCACUUCUUCUGCCACAGAUGGAAAUCUGGGAUCGUCUUUGACUCCUCUGGCCCCAUAAUCCCCCAUGUGUAGCCACCAUGUCCUCUUAAAAUAUUUUUCAAACCAACGUUUCUCCAGCCCUGCUCUUUCUGCCUUUUCGUAGGCCUAAGCCUUUACCAGCCAGCUGCCCUACCUGCCUCCAGCUCUCUGUUCCCAAGGCUCUCCUGAAUUUUUCUACCAUGUAAACAGGACCUUGUUCCCCCAGUUCAAACUUCCGGGUGCUUCGGGAUAGAGCAGCUUCUUCUCGGCAGGGCAUUCCUACACCUGCCGCCCCCGGGUCCAUGAGCCAUGCUGGUUCACACCUUAGCUUUCAGACCGUUUCUCUCUGCCUUCAAUAUCCUUUCCCACCUGCUUCCACUUCUCUUCCCAGACGGCUCAGAGGACACCUCUCCCAAGCCCUUUUUGGAAGGGGGUUUCCAUAGCAUUCCACCCAAACUGCUGUCAUUGUCCUCAUAACGAAAGCGGUUCUGCACCUUCUCUGAGGGCGGGGACAGUUUGGCUCCUGCUUCGAGUGAGCCAGGGCCAGCCCGCUGCCGCUGGGCCCUGCCGGAGCAGAAAUACCUCCCCGUGUCCUCCACCGCUGCUGCCUGUGGAGCAAAGUCCCGGGCCCUUGGCAGGGCUUUAAGGGAACAUGGCAUAGCCGGAAAACCUGGCGCUUUGAUCCCACAGACCCGGAUCUGAAUAUUUGUUCUGCUGUUUAUGGGCUAAGUGGCCUCAGAUGAGUUUUUUGGCCUCUCUGGGCCAGGUUCUUGAUCUGUGAGACAGGAACAUUACUGUUCAAGAUUGUUGUGAAGUUUGAUUGAAAUAACACGUACAGGAAGGUCCCAUCGUGGCUCAGUGGUAACAAGCCCAACUAGUAUCCAUGAAGACGCGGGUUCAAUCCUUGGCCUCACCUGGUGAGUUAAGGAUCUGCUGUUGCUGUGCGCUGUGGUAUAGGCUGCAGACGCGGCUCAGAUCCUGCAUUGCUGUGGUUGUGGUGUAGGCUGCCAGCUGCAGCUCUGAUACAGCCCCUGGCCUGGGAACCUCCAUAUGCUGAGGGUGUGGCCCU
rnacentral:lncRNA from 1 species